AUGGUGGUGCUGGAGGUGGUGAGUUUCUGGGAAUUUGAGGUGGGGCCAUCUGAGGGAUGGGGAGGCUCUGCUGUAACUAAAUUUCUGGUUCGAACAAGUUUCUUCAGUGGUGGUAGUGGUACAACUCCUAGUUGUACAACACCUAGAAGAGCAAGAGCAAGAGCAAGAGCAAAGAGAAACAGAAACAGAAACAGAAACAGAAACAGGGGAGGAAGGUUUAUUGGGUAGCUUCUUUAUGGAGGAGUUGGAGAUUUGCUGCUGCAAUGGUGCUGCUGAAGCAAUAGUAGCGUUAGUUGGCAAUCCUGCGCAGGCUGCCAUAUUCCCUCCCCGGCAAUCCAAACACCAAACCAAUCUUCCUGCUGCCUGCAAUGGGAUUUCAGUAUUUACUUCCUGCUGCAAUGGUUUUUUAUCCGGAGUGCCCCUGUAGUCAUUUAAAUUGGCGAU
rnacentral:lncRNA from 1 species